rnacentral:rRNA from 1 species
GACGAACGCUGGCGGCGUGCUUAACACAUGCAAGUCGAGCGGAAACAUGUAGCAAUACAUGUUUUAGCGGCGGACGGGUGAGUAACACGUGAGCAACCUGCCCCUAACUAUGGGAUAACUGGUAGAAAUAUCAGCUAAUACCGUAUAUGACUACGACUUGGCAUCAAGAAGUAGUAAAAGAUUUUAUCGGUUAGGGAUGGGCUCGCGGUCCAUUAGCUAGUUGGCGGUGUAACGGACCACCAAGGCGACGAUGGAUAGCCGAUCUGAGAGGAUGAACGGCCACACUGGAACUGAGACACGGUCCAGACUCCUACGGGAGGCAGCAGUGGGGAAUAUUGGGCAAUGGAGGCAACUCUGACCCAGCAACGCCGCGUGAAGGAAGAAGGUCUUCGGAUUGUAAACUUCUUUUGUAGAUGACGAAGAAUGACGGUAGUCUACGAAUAAGCCCCGGCAAACUAUGUGCCAGCAGCCGCAGUAAUAC